rnacentral:rRNA from 1 species
AAUUAAAGUGGUACGUGAGCUGGGUUCAGAACGUCGCGAGACAGUUCGGUCCCUAUCUGCCGUGGGUGUAGGAGACUUGAUGGGAGUUGCCCCUAGUACGAGAGGACCGGGGUGAACGAACCACUGGUGGACCAGUUGUCGUGCCAACGGCAGUGCUGGGUAGCUAUGUUCGGACAGGAUAACCGCUGAAGGCAUCUAAGCGGGAAGCCCCCCUUA